GUCGGGUAGCUCAGUCGGUAGAGCAGAGGACUGAAU
rnacentral:tRNA from 1 species